AACGUAGGAGGCGAGCGUUAUCCGGAUUUACUGGGCGUAAAGCGUGUGCAGGCGGUCGGGUAAGUUGGAUGUGAAAGCUCCUGGCUUAACUGGGAGAGGUCGUUCAAUACUACCGGACUAGAGGAUGGGAGAGGGAGGUGGAAUUCCGGGUGUAGUGGUGAAAUGCGUAGAUAUCCGGAGGAACACCAGUGGCGAAAGCGGCCUCCUGGCCCAAACCUGACGCUCAUACACGAAAGCUAGGGGAGCGAACGGG
rnacentral:rRNA from 1 species